CGAGCACGCGCGUGUGGCAUAUCAAUAAGCGGAGGAAAAGAAACUAACAAGGAUUCCCUUAGUAACGGCGAGUGAAGCGGGAAGAGCUCAAAUUUGAAAUCUUCAAGGUUCUACCUUGACGAAUUGUAGUUUAUAGAAGUGUUUUCUGUUAGUAGAGUGGCAAAAGUUCUUUGGAAUAGGACAUCAUAGAGGGUGAGAAUCCCGUAUUCGGUCAUUCUUUCUAGCUUUGUGAUACACUUUCAACGGGUCGGAUUGUUUGGGAAUGUAGUCCAAAAUGGGUGGUAAAUUUCAUCUAAAGCUAAAUAUUGGCGAGAGACCGAUAGCGAACAAGUACCGUGAGGGAAAGAUGAAAAGAACUUUGAAAAGAGAGUUAAACAGUACGUGAAAUUGUCAAAAGGGAAGCGUUUGACACCAGUGUUGUUUUCUCGAAAAUCAAUUAAGAAUGGUGGAUUUUGUGUUGAGUAUUGACUUAUCAGGCUUGCUGCCUUUCUUUACGAAUCUUUUUAAUGCACUUUUCGGUUAACAAGUCAACAUCAAUUUCUUUUGCUGUAAAAGGGUCAUUGAGGAAGGUGGCUUUCUUUUCGGAGAAAGUGUUUAUAGCCUUGUGACUUCUACAAUCGGAGAGAUUGAGGUCUGCAGCGUAGAUCCUUCGGGGUUAGAUACGUUUGUGCUAAGUUAUAGCUUUUCAUAGACAACUUGUUGACUAUGUUUAGUCUUGUAGCUUACUCGCUGAUGCUAUUUUACCUACGCUUAGGAUGUUGAGUAGCGACAUACGCAC
rnacentral:rRNA from 1 species